rnacentral:pre_miRNA from 1 species
AGGAGGAACAACCACAGUAGCGGCGGCCGGCUCUGGAGCCCUGGAUUCAGCUCCCGCAGUAACCAAGGAGCUCUCAGUCUGCAGGGGCUGGAGGCUCUGGGGACGG